GCGUGCUAUGCCUGUGUUCCGCGAAGAGGUUCCGGGGUAGUAAAUGGUGGGGAAAGGCACAUCUCCUGUCGUCAAUGAAAUUAACUAGUAAAGAUAAUAUUGCUACUGUACCGAAGUAUCCUAACAAUGGAAAUAUAUUAUAUUUCUAUGAGCCUAACACAGAGAUAGUUAGAGGACGCAACAUUGUGUCUGUCAAAUUAUGGAAAACAACUUUCACAGCAGUGAAUUUAGCACCUCAGAACCCGUAUGACCUUACAAGUGACGUCAAAAAUGUUGUCCCAUUAGCGAAGAAGGUGAAGAGGGGGGUGAAAGUGAGGCUGGUUUCCAGCGGUGAGUUAAGGUGAAGACACUUAAAGGCAAUCAUCAUGAGUCGCAGCCCAGAAAGGAUGUCUUCUUACUGCCGCCACUUCGAGGGCCCCCUCGCCGCCUCCUCUUCCUACCAGGUGCAGAUCUCAAGCCCCUCGCCAACUUGUGAUGCUGUGGGGAGACGCAUGACAGAGGAGACACAUCUGGAGAGUAUUGAGGGGCUGAAGCUGGAGAUGAAGGUGAUGAAGGAGAAGAUAGCUCUGCUGCUGAGGGAGUACCAGGAGCUGCUCAACAUCAAGAUGGCCCUGGAGAAUGAGAUCACCACCUACAGGGCGCUGAUCGAGGGCAGGACACCAGUCUCAAUACCAUGGCACAGAGCAUGUCUCUGGGUGGAGGAAGAGGGGGCAUGGCCAUCAGUGCUAGCAUGA
rnacentral:lncRNA from 1 species